rnacentral:piRNA from 1 species
CUGAACAUUAAGUAGCACCUGCCUAAC